UAUUGGACAAUGGGCGGAAGCCUGAUCCAGCAACGCCGCGUGAGGGAUGACGGCCUUCGGGUUGUAAACCUCUUUCAGUACCGACGAAGCACCGGUGAUGGUGGUGACGGUACCUACAGAAGAAGCACCGGCCAACUACGUGCCAGCAGCCGCGGUAAUACGUAGGGUGCGAGCGUUGUCCGGAAUUAUUGGGCGUAAAGGGCUCGUAGGCGGUUUGUCGCGUCGGGAGUGAAAACUCGGGGCUUAACUCCGAGCCUGCUUCCGAUACGGGCAGACUAGAGGUAUGCAGGGGAGAACGGAAUUCCUGGUGUAGCGGUGAAAUGCGCAGAUAUCAGGAGGAACACCGGUGGCGAAGGCGGUUCUCUGGGCAUUACCUGACGCUGAGGAGCGAAAGUGUGGGGAGCGAACAGG
rnacentral:rRNA from 1 species